GAUACAUUCUUUCCUCCAAGAGUCCACACAAUCAAAGCAGGUAUUUCCUUUUGAGGGGGGCCAUCAAAUUCUUCUUCUUGUUCAUUCAUCAGUAUUUCAUCGAAUACUGGAGUUACAUCAGCAGGUCUUUGCAAUGGAGGUACAGGUGUCUGCAAAAUUGUAGUAAUUAAUACAAAGAAUGCUCUUGCUUCACACAUUAAAGAUAGCAGGUCUUUGCAAUGGAGGUACAGGUGUCUGCAAAAUUGUACUAGUAAUCAAUACAAAGAAUGCAAACAUUUGUAGUAUUAGAUAGAUGAAAAUAUCUUAUCCUAAAGAAAAGAUAGAUGAAAACAUUUGGAGUAGGAUAACACAGAUAAAAAGAUUAUAAAUGACAGAUAACAAAACCCAUCUUAGUCAUUUAGCAAAUCCCAGGAUAAGAUAAUAAUGAUUUUCAUUAAGUUUUGAGACUGUAUUGAUAUGCUUUAUAUACUGGUUAAGCAGUUACAGGUAACUGAAAGAAAUACCUUACAUCAGAAAUGCUUGGUUUUCUUAGCAAAUGGAUCAGAAUACAUAUAUACACAACAAAGACAUCAAUAGUUAGCCUAUGCGCAAUAAAGACAUCAACACUUUCAAGAUUUUUUUUUUUUUUGAGUUAACACUUUCAAGAUUUAGUAGUAUCAG
rnacentral:lncRNA from 1 species